rnacentral:rRNA from 1 species
UGAGGAAUAUUGGUCAAUGGGCGAGAGCCUGAACCAGCCAAGUCGCGUGAAGGAAGACUGCCUUAUGGGUUGUAAACUUCUUUUAUACAGGAAUAAAAAGGCUUACGUGUAGGCCAUUGCAAGUACUGUAUGAAUAAGCAUCGGCUAACUCCGUGCCAGCAGCCGCGGUAAUACGGAGGAUGCGAGCGUUAUCCGGAUUUAUUGGGUUUAAAGGGUGCGCAGGCGGGCUUUUAAGUCAGCGGUGAAAUCUGGACGCUUAACGUCCAAACUGCCGUUGAAACUGGGAGUCUUGAGUAUGGAUGAAGUAGGCGGAAUUCGUUGUGUAGCGGUGACAUGCAUAGAUAUAACGAGGAACUCCGAUUGCGCAGGCAGCUUACUAAGCCAUAACUGACGCUCAUGCACGAAAGCGUGGGGAUCAAACAGGAUUAGAUACCCUGGUAGUCCACGCCGUAAAACGAUGAUUACUAGUUGUAUGCGAUAUGAUAGUAUGUGACUAAGCGAAAGCGAUAAGUAAUCCACCUGGGGAGUACGCCGGCAACGGUGAAACUCAAAGGAAUUGACGGGGUCAUAGCUGUUUCCUG